rnacentral:rRNA from 1 species
AUGAGUUAUGUGUGGCGGAGUGUUCUCAAAGGUCUGGAGGUAAUUAAAGAAGGGAUCAUUUGGCGAGUCGGAUAUGGGUCUAAUGUGAGGAUCUGGGAAGACCCGUGGAUCCCAAGAGGGACUACUCGCAGACCGGCCUCGUAUCGGGGCUCACAUUUGUUCUCCAAAGUUUCUGAAUUGCUUGAUCCGAUUACGGGCAGUUGGGACACAGACUUGGUUACGAACUGCUUCCACCAUGAUGAUGUUCAGCAUAUCCUCCGCAUCCCUAUCUGUGACCAAGUGGAAGACUUUAUAGCCUGGCAUUUCGGCAGUAAAGGGUUUUUUUCGGUCAAGUCGGCAUACAAAAUCCAUGUACAGAUGCAAAAAAAUGAGGCCAUAAGGCAACAGGGCCAUAGUUCUGUGCUUGCUAAUCAAAACGCUGAGUUGUUCAGAGCACUGUGGAAAAUUCGUUGCCCGCCGCGUGUACAUCAUUUCCUCUGGAGGUUUGCUCACAACAACCAUCCUAUGUAUGUGAACAUUAACAGACGGGGUGUAGAUUUAGACACCAGGUGCACGGUCUGUGGAAUUUUUUUCGAAGAUGGGGGGCAUCUAUUCGUCAAGUGCAAAAUGGUUAAGCAGAGAUGGCGUGCCUUGUUACUUGAGGAUGUCAGACUUCGACUUGUCGAAUGCAACUCAGCCAAGGAAUGUCUAGCAUUUAUAUUCAGUCUGCCAUAA